rnacentral:rRNA from 1 species
AUUGAACGCUGGCGGCAGGCCUAACACAUGCAAGUCGAACGAGUGGCGGACGGGUGAGUAAUGUCUGGGAAACUGCCUGCUGGAGGGGGAUAACUACUGGAAACGGUAGCUAAUACAGCAUACCAUCAGAGGUGACCAGAUGGGAUUAGCUAGUUGGGGGGGUAAAGGCUCACCAAGGCGACGAUCCAUAGCUGGUCUGAGAGGAUGACCAGCCACACUGGAACUGAGACACGCUCCAGACUCCUACGGGCGGCAGCAGUGGGGAAUAUUGCACAAGGGGCGCAAGCCUUAUGCAGCCAUGCCGCGUGUAUGAAGAAGGCCUUCGGGUUGUAAAGUACUUUCAGCGGGGAGGCGUUACCCGCAGAAGAAGCACCGGCUAACUCCGUGCCAGCAGCCGCGGUAAUUC